AUCUGGGCGGCGGAAUUCAGGAUGGCUGGCGGGCUUCGCGCUCGUCCGGUCGUUUGAUAUUUCCGUCGCCGUGUCGGACGUCGCGACCUGUUUGUCGUCGGUCCAUGCUCGGAGGAAUCGCGAUCGAGUUCGUUGCGCGGUGCGUUUCGGCGUGCCGAGCGGCGAAGACGCGGCUCUCUGGCUGACGGCGGACAGUAAGCAACGGUGUCCGGCGUCGUGUCUCGCACUCGACGUCGGUGCCGGUCUGCGACGAUUUCUUCGGGCCUCUUUCCGACCCGUCUUGAAACACGGACCAAGGAGUCUAACAUGCGCGCGAGUCGCGGGGUUUCGAGCGUACCACGGUACGCUCGUUACUUGCGAAACCCGUACGUUGAAGGCGUAAUGAAAGUGAACAGGGAAGAUGGCGUUCCGAGUCCACGUACCGUGAUCGAGUGUCGCGGCCGGACGUCCGCACUCCCGGGGCGUCUCAAUGGCUCGUCGCGGAUGCGGACGGUCGUCUCUCGGGGCGGCCGUCGGUCUGCGACGGACCGA
rnacentral:rRNA from 2 species